rnacentral:rRNA from 1 species
UAGUGGCGGACGGGUUAGUAACGCGUGGGAACGUACCCUUCCACUACGGAAUAGUCCCGGGAAACUGGGUUUAAUACCGUAUACGCCCUUCGGGGGAAAGAAUUUCGGUGAGGGAUCGGCCCGCGUUAGAUUAGUUAGUUGGUGGGGUAAUGGCCUACCAAGACUACGAUCUAUAGCUGGUUUGAGAGGAUGAUCAGCAACACUGGGACUGAGACACGGCCCAGACUCCUACGGGAGGCAGCAGUGGGGAAUCUUAGACAAUGGGGGCAACCCUGAUCUAGCGAUGCCGCGUGAGUGAUGAAGGCCUUAGGGUCGUAAAGCUCUUUCGCCUGUGAUGAUAAUGACAGUAGCAGGUAAAGAAACCCCGGCUAACUCCGUGCCAGCAGCCGCGGUAAUACGGAGGGGGUUAGCGUUGUUCGGAAUUACUGGGCGUAAAGCGCACGUAGGCGGAUUAGUCAGUCAGAGGUGAAAUCCCAGGGCUCAACCCUGGAACUGCCUUUGAUACUGCUAGUCUUGAGUUCGAGAGAGGUAAGUGGAAUUCCGAGUGUAGAGGUGAAAUUCGUAGAUAUUCGGAGGAACACCAGUGGCGAAGGCGGCUUACUGGCUCGAUACUGACGCUGAGGUGCGAAAGUGUGGGGAGCAAACAGGAUUAGAUACCCUGGUAGUCCACACCGUAAACGAUGAAUGCCAGUCGUCGGGUAGCAUGCUAUUCGGUGACACACCUAACGGAUUAAGCAUUCCGCCUGGGGAGUACGGUCGCAAGAUUAAAACUCAAAGGAAUUGACGGGGGCCC